GGAGCCCCUUGUCCGGCGGCUUGAACACACAGCCCGUCUUCCAACUGCGCGGAUCCGAUCGUUUACCCACCUCUGCACCUCUUCUCCUGGGGCACUCUGAGGUCCUGGCGGCCGAACGAGGGUCUUAGGACAUGGAAGACUAGGAUAUCCAAAAGCAACUGCACAUGUAGAGGAAAUGAGAAAAUCACCACAAAUGUCGAAGGGAAGACAGAAGUUCAGAAAAGACUGGAGAAGACCCUAAGUUUUCACCUCCAGUUGAUCUUCAGGUCAGAGACAUCUGACAACAGCAAUAUAACCACCACCACAAAACCUAGCAAAUGCUGGGGAAGGCGGAGAAUCUCAUUUCCAGAAUUACCAUAUUAUAAUAUUGAAAUGUCCAGUAGUUUUCAACAACAACAGAAAAAUCACAAGGUAUAUGUUCAAAGAUAGAAAGGAAAUUAACAGACACUCUCUCUGAAAAAGACUUGAGGGCAAAGACUUUAAAAUAAUUGUCAGAAAAAUACUUCAAUAACUAAAUGAACACAGAGAAUAUCAGGAAAACAAUACAUAAAUGAGAUAGAAAUAUCAAUAGAGAGAAAACCCAAAUAUAAACAAAGAAAUUCUGAAAUUGAAAUGACAAUAACUUCAAUAAAAAGCAUUCAAAGACAGAAGAAAGUCUGAGCAGAUGAGAUUUAGAGGUUCCCAGACUUUAUUUGUUCCCCUUAGAAUAAAUGCUGUCUCCAUAUCAACAUUCCACAUUCUUUCUUACUCAGUCUGUUCUGCCAUAAUGGGACAGUUGGUGUCCUAAGAUGACUUGAAUUAUAAAAUUUUUAUUAGAAAGUGAUUAUUCCAAUAGGGACCAAUGUAGUCAGAGCUGGAAAGUUUACAUACAUUUUUUUUUCUUGAAGAAUUUCAAUUACAAAGACAGCUAAACAUACCCAUAUGGCAGUAGAACUUAUCACCAGUUCUUAUCAAAGAACUUAUAAAAAACUGCUGAUUAUUUUUAGCUGAAUAAAUGAUAAAUUCUC